AAAGUCUGCUUGAAGUGUGGAGUCAGCAACAACUCCAAGGUUUGGCUUUUGAGAUGAGAAUUCUCCGUGCAGAUGCAAAGAGGAAAAGAAUUCUGCCCCCUCCCAGUAAUGCUGGGAAACCUGGAGUCCGCGCUGUGACUCACCGAAUGACGCCUGGAGAGUGCAGGCGCCCCGCCAGUCAGGGAGACAGGACUUCCCUCACUGGGCUGAAGAUAGCCCCUGAAGUUAGGCACAGUCACCGGCGAAAUAUCUUUAUGGCAGAAAUGUGUUUCCUGCCCGUCUAACUUAGGUACUUCCCUCUGCAGCCAGCGUAAUCUUUCUAGAACACGUGUACCGGUAAUUACUGCUUCCACCCCCAGUUCUAGGCAAAGAGCAAGGCCGUUGCGCUCGUCUGCCUCGGAAAGUGGCUCCUCAGUGCCCUCAGACAAGUAAGUGUCAACUGUGCAGCAGACCUCUCAGAUCCAGGCAGCAUGUCCCUGCUCACCACUAGGCCCAUCUCAGCAGUCCAGGUGGACAUCCCCUGGAGCCUCUGUCACUCCCCCUCCGGGCACGGUGGCUCACGCCUGUAAUCCC
rnacentral:lncRNA from 1 species